rnacentral:rRNA from 1 species
UUAAGCGACUAAGCGUACACGGUGGAUGCCCUGGCAGUCAGAGGCGAUGAAGGACGUGCUAAUCUGCGAUAAGCGUCGGUAAGGUGAUAUGAACCGUUAUAACCGGCGAUUUCCGAAUGGGGAAACCCAGUGUGAUUCGUCACACUAUCAUUAACUGAAUCCAUAGGUUAAUGAGGCGAACCGGGGGAACUGAAACAUCUAAGUACCCCGAGGAAAAGAAAUCAACCGAGAUUCCCCCAGUAGCGGCGAGCGAACGGGGAGCAGCCCAGAGCCUGAAUCAGUGUGUGUGUUAGUGGAAGCGUCUGGAAAGGCGCGCGAUACAGGGUGACAGCCCCGUACACAAAAAUGCACAUGCUGUGAGCUCGAUGAGUAGGGCGGGACACGUGGUAUCCUGUCUGAAUAUGGGGGGACCAUCCUCCAAGGCUAAAUACUCCUGACUGACCGAUAGUGAACCAGUACCGUGAGGGAAAGGCGAAAAGAACCCCGGCGAGGGGAGUGAAAAAGAACCUGAAACCGUGUACGUACAAGCAGUGGGAGCCUCUUUAUGGGGUGACUGCGUACCUUUUGUAUAAUGGGUCAGCGACUUAUAUUCUGUAGCAAGGUUAACCGAAUAGGGGAGCCGAAGGGAAACCGAGUCUUAACUGGGCGUUAAGUUGCAGGGUAUAGACCCGAAACCCGGUGAUCUAGCCAUGGGCAGGUUGAAGGUUGGGUAACACUAACUGGAGGACCGAACCGACUAAUGUUGAAAAAUUAGCGGAUGACUUGUGGCUGGGGGUGAAAGGCCAAUCAAACCGGGAGAUAGCUGGUUCUCCCCGAAAGCUAUUUAGGUAGCGCCUCGUGAACUCAUCUCCGGGGGUAGAGCACUGUUUCGGCAAGGGGGUCAUCCCGACUUACCAACCCGAUGCAAACUGCGAAUACCGGAGAAUGUUAUCACGGGAGACACACGGCGGGUGCUAACGUCCGUCGUGAAGAGGGAAACAACCCAGACCGCCAGCUAAGGUCCCAAAGUCAUGGUUAAGUGGGAAACGAUGUGGGAAGGCCCAGACAGCCAGGAUGUUGGCUUAGAAGCAGCCAUCAUUUAAAGAAAGCGUAAUAGCUCACUGGUCGAGUCGGCCUGCGCGGAAGAUGUAACGGGGCUAAACCAUGCACCGAAGCUGCGGCAGCGACGCUUAUGCGUUGUUGGGUAGGGGAGCGUUCUGUAAGCCUGUGAAGGUGUACUGUGAGGUAUGCUGGAGGUAUCAGAAGUGCGAAUGCUGACAUAAGUAACGAUAAAGCGGGUGAAAAGCCCGCUCGCCGGAAGACCAAGGGUUCCUGUCCAACGUUAAUCGGGGCAGGGUGAGUCGACCCCUAAGGCGAGGCCGAAAGGCGUAGUCGAUGGGAAACAGGUUAAUAUUCCUGUACUUGGUGUUACUGCGAAGGGGGGACGGAGAAGGCUAUGUUGGCCGGGCGACGGUUGUCCCGGUUUAAGCGUGUAGGCUGGUUUUCCAGGCAAAUCCGGAAAAUCAAGGCUGAGGCGUGAUGACGAGGCACUACGGUGCUGAAGCAACAAAUGCCCUGCUUCCAGGAAAAGCCUCUAAGCAUCAGGUAACAUCAAAUCGUACCCCAAACCGACACAGGUGGUCAGGUAGAGAAUACCAAGGCGCUUGAGAGAACUCGGGUGAAGGAACUAGGCAAAAUGGUGCCGUAACUUCGGGAGAAGGCACGCUGAUAUGUAGGUGAAGCGACUUGCUCGUGGAGCUGAAAUCAGUCGAAGAUACCAGCUGGCUGCAACUGUUUAUUAAAAACACAGCACUGUGCAAACACGAAAGUGGACGUAUACGGUGUGACGCCUGCCCGGUGCCGGAAGGUUAAUUGAUGGGGUCAGCGCAAGCGAAGCUCUUGAUCGAAGCCCCGGUAAACGGCGGCCGUAACUAUAACGGUCCUAAGGUAGCGAAAUUCCUUGUCGGGUAAGUUCCGACCUGCACGAAUGGCGUAAUGAUGGCCAGGCUGUCUCCACCCGAGACUCAGUGAAAUUGAACUCGCUGUGAAGAUGCAGUGUACCCGCGGCAAGACGGAAAGACCCCGUGAACCUUUACUAUAGCUUGACACUGAACAUUGAGCCUUGAUGUGUAGGAUAGGUGGGAGGCUUUGAAGUGUGGACGCCAGUCUGCAUGGAGCCGACCUUGAAAUACCACCCUUUAAUGUUUGAUGUUCUAACGUUGACCCGUAAUCCGGGUUGCGGACAGUGUCUGGUGGGUAGUUUGACUGGGGCGGUCUCCUCCUAAAGAGUAACGGAGGAGCACGAAGGUUGGCUAAUCCUGGUCGGACAUCAGGAGGUUAGUGCAAUGGCAUAAGCCAGCUUGACUGCGAGCGUGACGGCGCGAGCAGGUGCGAAAGCAGGUCAUAGUGAUCCGGUGGUUCUGAAUGGAAGGGCCAUCGCUCAACGGAUAAAAGGUACUCCGGGGAUAACAGGCUGAUACCGCCCAAGAGUUCAUAUCGACGGCGGUGUUUGGCACCUCGAUGUCGGCUCAUCACAUCCUGGGGCUGAAGUAGGUCCCAAGGGUAUGGCUGUUCGCCAUUUAAAGUGGUACGCGAGCUGGGUUUAGAACGUCGUGAGACAGUUCGGUCCCUAUCUGCCGUGGGCGCUGGAGAACUGAGGGGGGCUGCUCCUAGUACGAGAGGACCGGAGUGGACGCAUCACUGGUGUUCGGGUUGUCAUGCCAAUGGCACUGCCCGGUAGCUAAAUGCGGAAGAGAUAAGUGCUGAAAGCAUCUAAGCACGAAACUUGCCCCGAGAUGAGUUCUCCCUGACCCUUUAAGGGUCCUGAAGGAACGUUGAAGACGACGACGUUGAUAGGCCGGGUGUGUAAGCGCAGCGAUGCGUUGAGCUAACCGGUACUAAUGAACCGUGAGGCUUAACCUU